CGUCCUAGAAUUCGUAACGACUGGCGGCGACUGCUUUACUACAUGCAAGUCGAACGGACAGCGCGGGGCGAACCUGGCGGCGGAGUGGCGGAACGGGUGAGGUAAUAUAUCGGAACGUACCCAAGAGUGGGGAGUAACGUAGCGAAGUUACGCUAAUACCGCAUACGAUCUAAGGAUGAAAGCAGGGGAGUCUUCGGACCUUGUGCUCCUGGAGCGGCCGAUAUCUGAUUAGCUAGUUGGUGAGGUAAAGGCUCACCAAGGCGACGAUCAGUAGCUGGUCUGAGAGGACGACCAGCCACACUGGAACUGAGACACGGUCCAGACUCCUACGGGAGGCAGCAGUGGGGAAUUUUGGACAAUGGGCGAAAGCCUGAUCCAGCAAUGCCGCGUGAGUGAAGAAGGCCUUCAGGUUGUAAAGCUCUUUUGUCAGGGAAGAAACGGUUGAGGCUAAUAUCUUCGACUAAUGACGGUACCUGAAGAAUAAGCACCGGCUAACUACGUG
rnacentral:rRNA from 1 species